rnacentral:misc_RNA from 1 species
AAAGUCGUAACAAGGUAUCCGUAGGUGAACCUGCGGAUGGAUCAUUAUUAAGAAAAGGAGGGGGGGGGAGAAGCGAAGCAAGCAAGCAAAGCAAAGCGAAGCGAAGCAAAGCAAAGAAGCGAUAGUCCCGACGAACGAAUCCAAAAAUACACCUUUGUGGUCUAUAGACGCUGUUGUGUGUUGUUGGCGGCCGCGAAUGCGCAGCUCGAGAGAGCAGCGCGGCCGCACCGCCGACGGCAUGCCCCAUACAAACCUAUCUAUACAUACGCACUAGUCUAACGUAACCUUGUGGCCUGCUUCGGCGGACACCAAGUAAAACAACCAUAAUCCAAUACAACUGCUAGCAACGGAUCACUCGGCUCUC